rnacentral:rRNA from 1 species
CCUACGGGAGGCAGCAGUAAGGAAUAUUGGUCAAUGGACGCAAGUCUGAACCAGCCAUGCCGCGUGGAGGAUUAAGGCCCUCUGGGUUGUAAACUCCUUUCAUCUGGGAAGAAAUGCCAUUUUUCUAAAUGGUUUGACGGUACCAGAGGAAUAAGCACCGGCUAACUCCGUGCCAGCAGCCGCGGUAAUACGGAGGGUGCAAGCGUUAUCCGGAUUCACUGGGUUUAAAGGGUGCGUAGGCGGGCAGGUAAGUCCGUGGUGAAAUCUCUGAGCUUAACUCAGAAACUGCCAUGGAUACUAUUUGUCUUGAAUACUGUGGAGGUAAGCGGAAUAUGUCAUGUAGCGGUGAAAUGCUUAGAUAUGACAUGGAACACCAAUUGCGAAGGCAGCUUACUACACAAAUAUUGACGCUGAGGCACGAAAGCGUGGGGAUCAAACAGGAUUAGAUACCCUGGUAGUCCACGCCCUAAACGAUGAUUACUCGACAUCAGCGAUACACUGUUGGUGUCUGAGCGAAAGCAUUAAGUAAUCCACCUGGGAAGUACGUUCGCAAGAAUGAAACUCAAAGGAAUUGACGG